CUUUCCUGAGCAGGAAAGAGACCAGGUGAAGUAGCAUAUAAUAUCUCUCUUAUUCCCAUGCAGAUGUCUGAGGCUUCUUUUUCCUUUGGUCAAAUCUGAUUUGUAUUUCUUCCUGGUUAAUACCAUCAGAAUGUUCCAGGCUGCUUUUCUGCCUG
rfam:Loxodonta africana cont3.9320, whole genome shotgun sequence.